AGAGUUUGAUCCUGGCUCAGGACGAACGCUGGCGGCGUGCUUAACACAUGCAAGUCGAACGAUGAGCGAUGGAAGCUUGCUUCUAUCAAUCUUAGUGGCGAACGGGUGAGUAACGCGUAAUCAACCUGCCCUUCAGAGGGGGACAACAGUUGGAAACGACUGCUAAUACCGCAUACGAUCUAAUCUCGGCAUCGAGGAUAGAUGAAAGGUGGCCUCUACAUGUAAGCUAUCACUGAAGGAGGGGAUUGCGUCUGAUUAGCUAGUUGGAGGGAUAACGGCCCACCAAGGCGAUGAUCAGUAGCCGGUCUGAGAGGAUGAACGGCCACAUUGGGACUGAGACACGGCCCAGACUCCUACGGGAGGCAGCAGUGGGGAAUCUUCCGCAAUGGACGAAAGUCUGACGGAGCAACGCCGCGUGAGUGAUGACGGCCUUCGGGUUGUAAAGCUCUGUUAAUCGGGACGAAAGGCCUUCUUGCGAAUAGUGAGAAGGAUGACGUACCGGAAAGAAGCCCG
rnacentral:rRNA from 1 species